rnacentral:rRNA from 1 species
AGUGAACGCUGGCGGUAGGCCUAACACAUGCAAGUCGAACGGCAGCACAGUAAGAGCUUGCUCUUACGGGUGGCGAGUGGCGGACGGGUGAGGAAUACAUCGGAAUCUACUUUUUCGUGGGGGAUAACGUAGGGAAACUUACGCUAAUACCGCAUACGAUCUACGGGUGAAAUCAGGGGAUCUUCGGACCUUGCGCGAUUGAAUGAGCCGAUGUCGGAUUAGCUAGUUGGCGGGGUAAAGGCCCACCAAGGCGACGAUCCGUAGCUGGUCUGAGAGGAUGAUCAGCCACACUGGAACUGAGACACGGUCCAGACUCCUACGGGAGGCAGCAGUGGGGAAUAUUGGACAAUGGGCGCAAGCCUGAUCCAGCCAUACCGCGUGGGUGAAGAAGGCCUUCGGGUUGUAAAGCCCUUUUGUUGGGAAAGAAAAACAGCAGGUUAAUACCCCGCUGUUCUGACGGUACCCAAAGAAUAAGCACCGGCUAACUUCGUG